UGACGCAGGAUUACACGACGCUUUCGCGCCAUUUCUGUCUAGCUGGUGCGCACACUGCGGACACAGCCCGGCGCAUCAUACCUGCCUGGUGCCAAGUCAAGUGUGGGCAAGUACAUCAGUGCAUCAUGCACCGGCUGUGGUGCCUGUGCAAACUGCAGAUCUCGAUGAAGGAUGACAUGCCAGCAGCCCGCCCAUCACCUGACCGCUGAAUUUGGAGGGAGUACGACAACAAGGCGUUCUACUGCGAUCAAGUGCAAGAGAAUGUGAAACCUUCGGUUGGCACACUUCUAGAGAAAGCCCUUAUUUGGUGCUUGACGAUGUACUAUAUUAAGGACCUCACAUACCCAAUUGGGUAUGCUCAAUACUUCGUCUUGUGCAGAGUAUUAUGAACCCAGUUGUUUCCCAGGUGUUUUGCCGGCGGGAAGCUGCUGAAGACACAUUGGAAAGAUCAAAGGUAUUCGU